UAUCUGGUUGAUCCUGCCAGUAGUCAUAUGCUUGUCUCAAAGAUUAAGCCAUGCAUGUCUAAGUAUAAGCACUUGUACUGUGAAACUGCGAAUGGCUCAUUAAAUCAGUUAUCGUUUAUUUGAUUGUACCUUUACUACUUGGAUAACCGUGGUAAUUCUAGAGCUAAUACAUGCGAAAAGUCCCGACUUCUGGAAGGGAUGUAUUUAUUAGAUUCAAAACCAAUGCGGGUUCUGCCCGGUCA
rnacentral:ncRNA from 1 species